rnacentral:lncRNA from 10 species
GUACGCGGGAGCCCCGGCGACCCGGGCUUCUGUGAAACAUGGCGGUAGGCUGGGACCAUAACACAAGAGUUUCAGGCCAGGUGUGGUGGUUCACAUCUAUAAUCCCAGCACUUUUUUUGAGAGGCCGAGGUGGGUGGAAGGCUUCAGCCCAGGAGUUUGAGACCCAGCCUGGGCAACAAGCAUGACUAUAUGAAGGAAGAGGAAGGUUUUCCUGAAGAUGAGGCGACUGAAUCGGAAAAAAACUUUAAGUUUGGUAAAAGAGUUGGAUGCCUUUCCGAAGGUUCCUGAGAGCUAUGUAGAGACUUCAGCCAGUGGAGGUACAGUUUCUCUAAUAGCAUUUACAACUAUGGCUUUAUUAACCAUAAUGGAAUUCUCAGUAUAUCAAGAUACAUGGAUGAAGUAUGAAUACGAAGUAGACAAGGAUUUUUCUAG